rfam:Punica granatum cultivar Dabenzi scaffold189, whole genome shotgun sequence.
AAAACCUUACUUGAACAAGAUAUGUUCUCUAGGCUCGUACCUCUGUGUCCUUGACGUCUAAAGAGAUAGGAAUCUAAAUUUGGUGGAUGAAUCAUGGUCAUGUGACCAGAGUAUGAGUAACAGGCGCCGCUCUUCCUCAUCCAAGUGAAGCAGCUGUAGAGGAUCGUUCUCAGCCCUCAACCGAGGGUUUGAGUGGUCUCAUGGUUGUCUGACAUAUU